rnacentral:rRNA from 1 species
AUGGCAUGUUGUCACCAGACACUAAGGGCCUCGACACGACGCAUCCAUCCAAACUCCGCUCUUCGAAGAAGGCCACAACCUCCUCGCCUGGAUCGCAAGGCGCCGCACCGUCUAAGAGCGGAGAGUUCCCCUGAACAAGAAUGGACGCCGCCAGCAAACCCCAAGAGCGGAUCAGAGCAUCCAUCUGAGUCGACGAGGCUCAUCCAAAGCAGAGCAAGCUACACCUCCCAAGACCAUAACGCGUCGGAGGAAAAGCGGAGGCUUGGGCGAAAAAGGGCAUGCCAUCGGCUGCAGUCACCGACCCCAAACAGCGCCCGCCACCACCCAGCCCUCAAGGCGAUGCCUUCAAGAAGGUCGCGGCGCCAAAGACGCCGCCGCCGCCCACCGGAGUUAGGUUUUCACCCGAGAAGCUAG